rnacentral:rRNA from 1 species
CCUACGGGUGGCAGCAGUGGGGGAUAUUGCACAAUGGGGGAAACCCUGAUGCAGCAACGCCGCGUGAGUGAAGCAGUAUUUCGGUAUGUAAAGCUCUAUCAGAAGGGAAGAGAAUGACGGUACCUGACCAAGAAGUCCCGGCUAACUACGUGCCAGCAGCCGCGGUAAUACGUAGGGGGCGAGCGUUAUCCGGAUUUACUGGGUGUAAAGGGGGCGUAGGGGGUUGGUCGAGUCUGAAGUGAAAGCCCGGGGGUUAACCCCGGAACGGCUUUGGAAACUGGGCGGCUAGAGUGCUGGAGAGGUAAGCGGAAUGCGUGGUGUAGCGGUGAAAUGCGUAGAUAUUAGGAGGAACUCCGGUGGCGAAGGCAGCUUACUGGACAGUAACUGACGUUGAGGCUCGAAAGCGUGGGGAGCAAACAGGAUUAGAUACCCUAGUAGUC